rnacentral:lncRNA from 1 species
GGGCUACCCAGGGGACGUGGUCCACCAGGUCUACCCAAGGAGGGGGUGGCCACCAGGGAAGUGGCCACCAGACCCAGGGAAGUGGCCACCAAGUCUAGGCAGGGAGGUGAUGGACACCAGGUCUACCCAGUGGAACUGGCCACCAGGUCUACCCAUGGAAAAACUGGCCACCAGGUCUACCCAGUGGAACUGGUCACCAGGUCUACCCAUGGAAGAGCUGGCCACCAGGUCUACCCAGGGGAACUGGCCACCAGGUCUACCCAAGGAAGGAGUGACCAUCAGGUCUACCCUGGGGAACUGGCCACCAAGUCUACCCAGGGGAAGGGGCCACCAGGUCUACCCAGGGAGGGGGUGACCACCAGAUCCAUGUGGCCACCAGGGCAAGCCAAGGCGGGGGGGAGGAGGAGAAGGAGGGAGGAGGACACUGGCCACCUGCUCGAGCCAUGGAGGAGGUGGCCAUCAUGGCUACUGAGGGGAAGUGGCCACCAGACCCAGGGAAGUGGCCACCGGGUCUAGGCAGGGAGGAGAAGGCCACCAGGUCUACCCAGUGGAACUGGCCACCAGGUCUAUCCAUGGAAAAACUGGCCACCAGGUCUACCCAGGGAGGGGGUGGACACCAGGGAAGUGGCCACCAGACCCAGGGAAGUGGCCACCAAGUCUAGGCAAGGAGGAGAUGGCCACCAGGUCUACCCAGUGGAACUGGCCACCAGGUCUACCCAUGGAAAAAACUGGCCACCAGGUCGACCCAGAUCAACUGGUCACCAGGUCUACCCAUGGAAGAACUGACCACCAGGUCUACCCAGGGAGGAGGUGGCCACUGGGUCUACCCAGGGGAAGGGGCCACCAGGUCAACCGAGGGAGGGGGUGGCCACUGCUCGAGCCAUGGAGGAGGUGGCCAUCAUGGCUACUGAGGGGAAGUGGCCACCAGACCCAGGGAAGUGGCCACCGGGUCUAGGCAGGGAGGAGAAGGCCACCAGGUCUACCCAGUGGAACUGGCCACCAGGCCUACCCAGGGGAAACUGGUCACCAGGUCUACCCGUGGAAGAACUGGCCACCAGGUCUACCCAGGGGAACUGGCCACCAGGUCUACCCAAGGAAGGAGUGACCAUCAGGUCUACCCUGGGGAACUGGCCACCAAGUCUACCCAGGGGAAGGGGCCACCAGGUCUACCCAGGGAGGAGCUGGUCACCUUGGCUACCAAGGGGAAGUGGCCACCAGACCGAGGGAAGUGGCCACCUGGUCUAGGCAGGGAGGAAAAGGCCACCAGGUCUACCCAGGGGAACUGGCCACGGGGUCUACCUGUGGAAGAACUGGCCACCAGGUCUACCCAAGGAAGGAGUGACCAUCAGGUCUACCCUGGGGAACUGGCCACCAAGUCUACCCAGGGGAAGGGGCCACCAGGUCUACCCAGGGAGGGGGUGACCACCAGAUCCAUGUGGCAACCAGGGCAACCCAAGGUGGGGGAGGGGAGGAGAAGGAGGGGGGAGGACACUGGCCACCAGCUUGAG